CCUUCAGGGUCAGCCUUGGUCAAAGCAUAUAUGCAAAUGAAACACUGCUAAGCUUGUUAAUUAGUACUUACUCUCAUCAGAUCCAGUGCUUCCCACAACCCUACAGUCUUUUAGCUUGGCCAAUUGCCCCGCAUACAUCCCAACUGCCCCGGCUGUGGCUGAAAUGAACACAUUCGACCAUGCUUUUAUCGGCUCGGCGAUCACCUCUAUUCCCACCCACGCUGCAAACCCAGUAGUAGUUCAUUGUAGAGAGGUCUGAUGGCGCUUGCUUAUGUGGAGAGUGCACGAAUUCAUCUGAAGCAGUUGACAAUUGCACAUUAAAUUGCUAGCUUGGAGUCUCUACAAGAGAUCCUUAUGAGGCAUUAUACUCGCAACUUCAUCAUGAGAUGUUUAAGGGACUCAGAGGUCUUCUUCAACCACCGCUCAAUGGAGUUGAGAAACAUGGUCUUCCUGUUGUGCUCUAAGUAUCUAUCGCGCAGGCAUAGCUUUAGAUAUUACAGGUUUCGUUGACCAAACCAGCUGCUAGGAUUCUUGAAGUUACUGGAAAAACUGCACAGAGCAUUAGAACCCGAUAGGAUCUAUUGAACUUCCUCUUAAUUUCUAAUAUUUGUAGUCACUACAAUGCUUGUUUUGUCAAUUACCAAUGAUCCACAAAGGAUUCAGUACUUUGUCUUGCAUUUUUUGUAAGGAAUAUAUGUAUUAGACAAUAUGGUACUCUUAAUGAAAUGUAUAUUUUUCUUUUACA